rnacentral:rRNA from 1 species
GAUGAACGCUAGCUACAGGCUUAACACAUGCAAGUCGAGGGGAAACGGCAUUAAGUGCUUGCACUUUUUGGACGUCGACCGGCGCACGGGUGAGUAACGCGUAUCCAACCUUCCCAUGACUAAGGGAUAACCUGCCGAAAGGCAGACUAAUACCUUAUGGUCUUCACUGACGGCAUCAGAUGUGAAGUAAAGAUUUAUCGGUUAUGGAUGGGGAUGCGUCUGAUUAGCUUGUUGGCGGGGUAACGGCCCACCAAGGCAACGAUCAGUAGGGGUUCUGAGAGGAAGGUCCCCCACAUUGGAACUGAGACACGGUCCAAACUCCAACGGGAGGCAGCAGUGAGGAAUAUUGGUCAAUGGGCGAGAGCCUGAACCAGCCAAGUAGCGUGCAGGAUGACGGCCCUAUGGGUUGUAAACUGCUUUUGUAUGGGGAUAAAGUCAAUCACGUGUGAUUGUUUGCAGGUACCAUACGAAUAAGGACCGGCUAAUUCCGUG